rnacentral:pre_miRNA from 1 species
UGGAGUGGGGGGGCAGGAGGGGCUCAGGGAGAAAGUGCAUACAGCCCCUGGCCCUCUCUGCCCUUCCGUCCCCUGCUCUUGGCC